UACGUAGGGACCAAGCGGUGUUCGGAUUUACUGGGCGUAAAGGGCGCGUAGGCGGCGUGGUAAGUCACUUGUGAAAUCUCUGAGCUUAACUCAGAACGGCCAAGUGAUACUGCUGUGCUAGAGUGCAGAAGGGGCAAUCGGAAUUCUUGGUGUAGCGGUGAAAUGCGUAGAUAUCAAGAGGAACACCUGAGGUGAAGACGGGUUGCUGGGCUGACACUGACGCUGAGGCGCGAAAGCUAGGGGAGCAAACGGG
rnacentral:rRNA from 1 species